CAUGCAUGUACUUUUGUUAUUUGCACACAGAGAUGUUCCUGCCAUGUUCUUUUCACAUAGACGAAACUUGUUUGUCAUCAGAGCCACCAUCGUGCAGUGCCAGUUCAUUGAGAAGCUGCGUCUAUGGCAUCAUGUGCAAGCCAUUCUGAAAUGACCUUUUGUGUACCAUGCAACAACAAAAAAAGUGAGAAAUGUCAUGGAGACAAUGAAGGGUUUGACUGGCACUGUAGCUGGUAUCAUACCCCUCCAUCUGAUUUGAGGUAGCCAAAGAAGAAACUGUGCAAUGUUCCCACUGCGGGUGACUUUUGACAAUAUUUAUGUGCAUAUCUUGACCUUUGACAAUAUUUAUGUGCAUAUCUUCCAUGUUAAAAUUGUUUAAAACUGAGACGUGCUACUUUUUUAUAUCACCUGAUGUUACCCGUUGUGUAGAGUUUGACCUCUACUAAUUGCCAUUAUCAUACCCCUCCAUCUGAUUUGAGGUAGUCAGAGAAGAAACUGCAAUGUUCCCACUGCAGGUGACUUUUGACAAUAUUUAUGUGCAUAUCUUCCAUGUUAAAAUUGUGUAAACUAAGACUUGUGUUGCCUUUUAUAACGCCUGAAAUUACUUUUUGUGUACCGCGCAACAAGAAAAAAAAAAAGCAAAGUGAGGAGUGUGUUGUCGACAUUCAAAGACAAAUUCAGGAUAAGAUGGAA